UAGCGGCGGACGGGUGAGUAACACGUGGGCAACCUGCCUCAUAGAGAGGAAUAGCCUUCCGAAAGGGAGAUUAAUACCUCAUAACAUUGCAGUUUCGCAUGGAACAGCAAUUAAAGGAGUAAUCCGCUAUGAGAUGGGCCCGCGGCGCAUUAGCUAGUUGGUGAGGUAACGGCUCACCAAGGCGACGAUGCGUAGCCGACCUGAGAGGGUGAUCGGCCACAUUGGGACUGAGACACGGCCCAGACUCCUACGGGAGGCAGCAGUGGGGAAUAUUGCACAAUGGGGGAAACCCUGAUGCAAGCAACGCCGCGUGAGUGAUGACGGCCUUCGGGUUGUAAAGCUCUGUCUUCAGGGACGAUAAUGACGGUACCUGAGGAGGAAGCCACGGCUAACUACGUGCCAGCCGCAGC
rnacentral:rRNA from 1 species